GAUGAACGCUGGCGGCGUGCUUAACACAUGCAAGUCGAACGGUGAAAGAGAGCUUGCUCUCUGGAUCAGUGGCGAACGGGUGAGUAACACGUGAGCAAUCUGCCCCUGACUCUGGGAUAAGCGCUGGAAACGGCGUCUAAUACCGGAUACGAGCUGCGAAGGCAUCUUCAGCAGCUGGAAAGAACUUCGGUCAGGAAUGAGCUCGCGGCCUAUCAGCUAGUUGGUGAGGUAAUGGCUCACCAAGGCGUCGACGGGUAGCCGGCCUGAGAGGGUGACCGGCCACACUGGGACUGAGACACGGCCCAGACUCCUACGGGAGGCAGCAGUGGGGAAUAUUGCACAAUGGGCGCAAGCCUGAUGCAGCAACGCCGCGUGAGGGACGACGGCCUUCGGGUUGUAAACCUCUUUUAGCAGGGAAGAAGCGAAAGUGACGGUACCUGCAGAAAAAGCACCGGCUAACUACGUGCCAGCCGCCGCGGUAAUAC
rnacentral:rRNA from 1 species